rnacentral:rRNA from 1 species
UACGGAGGGCGCUAGCGUUGUUCGGAAUCAUUGGGCGUAAAGCGCGUGUAGGCGGCUUGGUAAGUCGAGUGUGAAAUCCCGGGGCUCAACCCCGGAAGGUCGCUCGAAACUGCCUCGCUCGAGUCCCGGAGAGGAAGGCGGAAUUCCCGGUGUAGAGGUGAAAUUCGUAGAUAUCGGGAGGAACACCAGCGGCGAAGGCGGCCUUCUGGACGGUGACUGACGCUGAGACGCGAAAGCGUGGGGAGCAAACAGG